UUUGCCCCAGGCCAAGCAACUACAGGAUAAGUGUACUUCGCUCUACUUUCCAAGGAAGUACAAAGGGUUUUCUUAAAAUAGCAACAUAGGAAUUGGAAGUUUUGCCCUCUUAUCAACAGCUCCAUCUGUAAACAGGGGAGUGGUCCCAACAUAUCAAUCUAUGAAUAAGUCAAUCAUUAAAGACUAUAGCAUCUGAACAGCUCUUAUCUAGGAAGAACAAAGACGUGACUGCAUCCUAGAAAAAAGCCAAUAAAAGCUUCGUGAAACUGCCAGACCUGACUAGACCAGUGGACCAUCUAGUCCAGUGUCCUAUCUUUGACAAUUCCAC